rnacentral:lncRNA from 1 species
AGCCAAGUCAGGCAAAUUUCAAAUGUCCAUCUAUUAAUCCAGAUGUUCUUACAUUAGUCUCUAUUUUAUCCUUUAGGUUACUCAUAAGAUACGGUUUCUCACACAAAUAUGGAGCUGUUGUUAAGUCUAACUAUUUUUUCUGGCAAUUGAGAAGGAAGUCUACAAGAAGAUAUUGAAGAUAUCACAGAUGAUUUACCAAGUCAGAGCCUGAACUUGACUGAAACAACAUUGGGUGAAAUUCUGCAACUAGAUCAGAGCCACGGGUGUCCAGUCUGGUCUUCAGACUUGAAGGGACCAAAGGGGUCAACUUCAGUCAUCUUGGGAGAAUUUAAAGACUUUUCUCCUCUACAAAAUGGACCAAGGAGAGCCAGAGGAGGCAAGGAAUUUUGAAUACCAAGAACUCGCUUCAUGUAAUACGAUUAAAGCCUUUUAAAUGUAAAGAUCAAUAGGUCAAACCAUAAUAAAAUACAGC